AAUUAAUAGCAUUUGAAAUCGAUUUUUUUUGUAACAUUAUAAAUAAACACCUUAGCCUACUGGCCCAAUCUUAUAUUGGCCCAUCUUUUGUUUAGGGGACGCAAAAGCGUUAGCCUACUAUACGAGAUAAAUAUCAAUAUAUUGCGCCCCGAGAAAUGUCCCUUAUAGCAUAUAUACUAGGUAAGUGCGGCCUUUUGCAUUUCAACGCAUCAUUGGUACAUAUGCUGAAAUUUUCAUUGGGAGAACCAUUGUGUCAAAACGUAAGUGAGUCGUAGUUCCAUGCCUCGCGUGACGUCACAACGGGUAGGGCGCAAUCACAUGGAUCUCGGGGCUGGACAGGAAACGGAGACGCCAGGAACGCGCAUCGGUCCACAGCUCAGAACGGGAAUGGAAGCGGGAGAGGAACGGGAGGCUCGCUCGUCUCAUCAUCAAAUAUAAGCGAUCGCCACGGGAAGCGAAUCCCGAUUGAGGUGGGAGAGGAGCGGGGAUUCUGUCGCUGGAUUUGCGCAACACAUCAGUGGCUUUUUUCCAUUGUUACCGUUUCCUCCGGACAAGACAGAAGCCGCAGAAAGCGUCGGCUGGUUUGCGACAAUUGAUUGAGGACCUUUUCUAUUCAGAAAUCAGCUUGGCACUGCCACAGAACCAAAGGAAUUUAUUGGAUCAUGAAAAGUGGAUGUUCCACACCAGAAUGGAGCCAGAUCUGAAUGACACCUCCAGAAGUCUUUGAAGAGGCCAUUGAGACUGAAAGUCAGAUUCAUCCUCUGAUUUUCUUUAUUCAACUCUUUAAAUGUAAGUAAUUACAUUUGGAUGACAAGUUGAAACUGUAUUAGUAACCAUAUUA
rnacentral:lncRNA from 12 species